CCUACGGAGAGCAGCAGUGGGGAAUAUUGGGCAAUGGAGGAAACUCUGACCCAGCAACGCCGCGUGAAUGAUGAAGGUCUUCGGAUUGUAAAGUUCUUUUCUAAGGGAAGAAGGAAGUGACGGUACCUUAGUAAUAAGCCUCGGCUAACUACGUGCCAGCAGCCGCGGUAAUACGUAGGAGGCGAGCGUUAUCCGGAAUGACUGGGCGUAAAGGGGGCGUAGGUGGUUUGGCAAGUUAGUAGCGUAACUCCAAGGCUCAACCUUGGAACUACUACUAAAACUGUUGGACUUGAGUGCAGGAGGGGCAACCGGAAUUCCUAGUGGAGCGGUGGAAUGCGUAGAUAUUAGGAGGAACACCAGUGGCGAAGGCGGGUUGCUAGACUGUAACUGACACUGAGGCACGAAAGCGUGGGGAGCAAACAGGAUUAGAUACCCCUGUAGUC
rnacentral:rRNA from 1 species